rnacentral:rRNA from 1 species
GGGAACGUGCCUUUAGGUUCGGAAUAGCUCCUGGAAACGGGUGGUAAUGCCGAAUGUGCCCUUCGGGGGAAAGAUUUAUCGCCUUUAGAGCGGCCCGCGUCUGAUUAGCUAGUUGGUUGAGGUAACGGCUCACCAAGGCGACGAUCAGUAGCUGGUCUGAGAGGAUGGCCAGCCACAUUGGGACUGAGACACGGCCCAAACUCCUACGGGAGGCAGCAGUGGGGAAUCUUGCGCAAUGGGCGAAAGCCUGACGCAGCCAUGCCGCGUGAAUGAUGAAGGUCUUAGGAUUGUAAAAUUCUUUCACCGGGGACGAUAAUGACGGUACCCGGAGAAGAAGCCCCGGCUAACUUCGUGCCAGCAGCCGCGGUAAUACGAAGGGGGCUAGCGUUGCUCGGAAUUACUGGGCGUAAAGGGCGCGUAGGCGGACAUUUAAGUCAGGGGUGAAAUCCCAGAGCUCAACUCUGGAACUGCCUUUGAUACUGGGUGUCUUGAGUGUGAGAGAGGUAUGUGGAACUCCGAGU